rnacentral:rRNA from 1 species
GCAUAUCAAUAAGCGGAGGAAAAGAAACCAACAGGGAUUGCCUCAGUAACGGCGAGUGAAGCGGCAACAGCUCAAAUUUGAAAUCUGGCCCUCUGGGUCCGAGUUGUAAUUUGCAGAGGAUGCUUUUGGCGCGGUGCCUUCCGAGUUCCCUGGAACGGGACGCCACAGAGGGUGAGAGCCCCGUCUGGUUGGACACCAAGCCUAUGUAAAGCUCCUUCGACGAGUCGAGUAGUUUGGGAAUGCUGCUCUAAAUGGGAGGUACAUGCCUUCUAAAGCUAAAUACCGGCCAGAGACCGAUAGCGCACAAGUAGAGUGAUCGAAAGAUGAAAAGCACUUUGGAAAGAGAGUUAAAAAGCACGUGAAAUUGUUAAAAGGGAAGCGUUUAUGACCAGACGUGGGCCGGUUAAUCAUCCAGCGUUCUCGCUGGUGCACUUUGCCGGUCCAGGCCAGCAUCAGUUCGCCGCGGGGGACAAAGGCGUCGGGAAUGUGGCUCCUCGGAGUGUUAUAGCCCUUCGCGCAAUACCCUGGGGCGGACUGAGGUUCGCGCUCUGCAAGGAUGCUGGCGUAAUGGUCAUCAACGACCCGUCUUGAAACACGGACCAAGGAGUCGUCUUCGUAUGCGAGUGUUCGGGUGUAAAACCCCUACGCGUAAUGAAAGUGAACGCAGGUGAGAGCUUCGGCGCAUCAUCGACCGAUCCUGAUGUUCUCGGAUGGAUUUGAGUAAGAGCAUACGGGGCCGGACCCGAAAGAAGGUGAACUAUGCCUGUAUAGGGUGAAGCCAGAGGAAACUCUGGUGGAGGCUCGCAGCGGUUCUGACGUGCAAAUCGAUCGUCAAAUAUGGGCAUGGGGGGCGAAAGACUAAUCGAACCUUCUAGUAGCUGGGUUCCGCCGAAG